CUAAACUCUUCUUCCUCUGUGACCGAGGCGAGAGCGCGGUGAUGGACACAUUUUGCCUGGGUAGCAAACUGUGGCGUAACACCUGUAAACAUUCAGCGUUGACAUUCAUUUGAAGAUGCGUGCCGUGCCUCUUUUUUCACGGCCAAGCCUACUUCCUGGUGGACAGACAGCGCCUCAGUGUUGUCGUAGUGAGCAGACGGGGUAGCUGAAGUAGAGGAGAGAGGCUGUUUCAUGGUCUGCAGUCAGUAAAACAGCACACUUUUCUUUGCUGAUUUGGACGGACGGAAACAAACAAACAUGGGGAGCACCGUGACGGAGUCUAGCAAGGAGAGCGAGAAGAAAAUGCCAAAGAAGAGGAGAAGUCUGCGGAUUAACAUGCCAGACUUCGGUGCGUUUACUUCCCCCCAAGUGGAGACGAGUAGCUCAACCAAAAAAAGUGGCACUCAGACGGGAGAGCGUUGCAUCCGUUCAGCUAGCCCCACAAAAUCUGUGUCUGCGAGGAGCCCAGUCCUCCUGCCCCCGCAUCCUCAGUCUGCUCCUGUGCAAAUGAAGACCAGCUCAGGUUCACCCAAAACUAUCUUCCCCUAUCCCUCACAUCAGAGCUCCCCACCUAAGUCCCCCCGCCGCCUGAGCUUCAGUGGUAUCUUCCGCUCGUCAUCCAGCUCCUCACCUGGGAGCAUCAAACUCUUCUCCAGAACCAAGAGAGCCUCGGGACUCUUCACAUCACCCACCACCCCGACCCAGUCGUCCAGCCAGCCUGUAUUCACCCAGGAGGCCACGCCCGGCAGGCCCAGCCCUGAACGCCAGGAACCCCACUCUCGAUCCCGCUCACUCUCCACGCCUCCUGACACUGGACAGCGUCUCAGCCUUCCUUCUGCUAAACCCCCGAUCCCUUCGUCGAGCCCUGUACCAUCUUACUCUACCUCACAAGUCUACUCUUUAUUCGAAGGCAUGCUGGAGAAACUCGAGCUAGAUGAUGAUGCUGCUGAACCUGAGAGUGAUAUUUACAUGCGCUUUAUGAAAUCCCACAAGUGCUACGACAUCGUCCCAACAAGUUCCAAGCUGGUUGUAUUUGACACGGCUCUCCAGGUUAAGAAGGCUUUCUUUGCCUUGGUUGCCAACGGCGUGAGAGCUGCUCCACUAUGGGACACAGAGAAGCAGAGCUUUGUGGGAAUGCUGACAAUCACAGAUUUCAUCAUCAUACUACACAGAUACUAUAAGUCACCGAUGGUGCAAAUUUAUGAAUUAGAGGAACAUAAGCUUGAGACGUGGAGAGAGGUUUACCUUCAAGCAACAUUCAAACCUCUUGUCAACAUAUCACCUGAUGCAAGCCUUUUUGAUGCAGUGUAUACACUCAUUAAAAACAAAAUUCACCGGCUGCCUGUCAUCGACCCGGUCACGGGAAAUGCACUUUACAUUCUCACACACAAGAGGAUCCUGAAGUUCCUCCAGCUUUUUAUGUGUGAAAUGCCAAAGCCAGCUUUCAUGAAGCAGACUCUCGGGGAGCUGGGCAUCGGUACGUACAAGGACAUUGCUUUCAUCCACCCGGACACGCCCAUCAUCAAAGCACUUAACAUCUUUGUGGAGAGACGAGUGUCUGCCCUGCCUGUUGUCGACGAGUCUGGCAAAGUUGUGGAUAUUUACUCCAAAUUUGACGUGAUCAAUUUGGCUGCAGAGAAGACCUACAACAACCUGGACAUAACGGUGACGCAGGCUCUGAAACACCGCUCUCAGUACUUCGAAGGUGUCAUGAAGUGCCACAAAAUGGAAACAAUGGAGACCAUUGUUGACCGAAUAGUCAAAGCUGAAGUGCAUCGGCUGGUGGUGGUGGACGAACGCUCCAGCAUCGAGGGCAUCGUCUCCCUGUCAGACAUCCUCCAGGCCUUGGUGCUCAGCCCUGCAGGUAUAGAUGCUCAGCAUCACUAACUCCAACUUCCCUUCUGUCCAGGACCCUGAGCUCUCUCCCCACCCCGUCCUCUAACCCUGUCUCGGAUGCCUGUAAGGAGGACAAUCUGCCUGAGUGAGAGGGAGGAGGUCACAGGGGAAAUGGAGAUGCGGUGGAAGUAAAUAAGUCUGAAUGUUGAGGUAGGGGGAGUGUGAGGCUGAGCAGAGAGGAGCCGGUCUGAAGGUCCAAGAGACGCCUGCAACUGAUGCACUAUAGAAGCUUAGAAACCAAAGAGCUAGACAGCUGAAUGAAGUGAAGUUCCUGCACUGAGGAUUGAUCUGCUGAUUGAAUCAGUUUUUGUUUUGUUUGAACACUGAUCACACGCACACACACACACACACUCAAACACACGUUGUCUCUGAACAACAUGUGUACAUAAAUACGACAACCAGACAGACACAUACAUACACAGAGAUGCAUAUCGGUCCAGCCUGCGAGAGUUGGGAGAGUUGAUAAGUAAGGAUCUUUAUGAUCAUGCAGCUGUAAUCAGUUAAUUUCUAUUCACAUGUUGUUGACGAUACUGAAUGUCACAGCCUCCAGGAGAACCAGUGUUUUCCUUCAUAUUUGGUGUAGAAAGGCAAACUAUCACAGAAGCAACUUAUUUUUCUGAGCAAAUCUACAUGUCACUAUUAAAGAAAGGCUGUUUCAUGACUGUUUUUGUUAGCAAGUGCCAAUAUAAAGGGAUUGAUGCCUGAUAUUGAUCUGUGCCUUUUCUGUUACCAGUUAAAACUGACAGUAUUUGUGCCCCUUUGGCCUUUUAUUGGAUUUAUCAGAUGAGUAUAACCAUUUGGAUUUUUUUUUUUUUAAAUACUGAUAAGUUUAGUGCACAUAAGAGUAGAUAACAAAUUAUACCUUCUUAUUGGAAAUACAGUUUUCACAAAUAUUUCUGUGAUUUUCAAAACCAGUUUCACAAGAGUUAAGAAAUUCUGUUUAAAAAAUCAACAUGGAAAUAAUUGGCCCACUUUGAGGAGUGAUUAGGUGCAAAUGUGACUGCACAUUAGUAAUAAUAUAGAACCUUUAGUGAGUACCUCUCACUUAUUUCACAUCAGUUGGGAUUCAAAGUCAUUGUGACAAGUAUGCCUUUUUGUAACGGUAUAACAAGACCCAAAAAUGUCAUUUUUAUGUUUAAAAUUCUUUUCUUUCUUUACAUUUCUUUACAGUUGUUUUGAUGCUCACAAACAUGCAAAUCAAGGCAGGUUUCUCAGCUGUAGCUCGACAGGACUCAUCUCCAUCUUUGACUGUAAAUAGGAUCGUUUUCAGAAUACGUGUCACAUAAAGCUUUAUUUUUAUGAAUGUGUCUACAUGUUUAAAGAGACUGCAGUUUUAAUGUUAUUUUUGUAAAUAUAUUGUGGCAAUAUGUCCAGUUCAAAGAGACUUUGUAUCAGAUCAACAUGUACUGUAAAUGUGCAAGCAUGAGAAACUACACUUCAGCAGUAUGAAUGUUCUGUUUUACUUUUUUCUAUUUUUCUGGCUGCAGAGAAAUAAACGGACACUGAAUGUACUUGAA